UGACGUGAGACUCCUCCCCCUUCUCGUCGUUCUAAGAUGGCGACUCUGUGAAGAGAGAAGCCGUGGUUCGCGAUUUGAGAGAGAGAGAGGGGGAGACACGGGGUGGUGAUGGCGGAGGUGGCGGGCCCCACGGCGGAGGUGGCGAGCCCCACGGCGGAGGUGGCGAGCCCCACGGCGGAGGUGGCGAGCCCCACGGCGGAGGUGGCGAGCCCCACGACGGAGGUGGCGGAACCCACCGGAGAUUAGAGCCCUGUCGCGUACGGUCCUCACGACGGAGGUGGAGGUGAUCCCCGCGGCGGAGGAGGUGGUGAUCCCCACGGCGGAGGAGAGUCCCCACGGCGGAGGAGAGCCCCACGGCGGAGAGGGGGACAGAGGGGGAGGAGCGGCAGUGGCCCAGCGCAGAGGAGGAGGAGGAACGCAGCAGCAUGGCGGACUCGUCCAGCAGCGUUCUGUCUGCAAUGCCAUCCGACUCGGAGAGCAGUGGAUCAGUCUCUAGCCUGGGUAACCCUCACCACUCACUCACACUCACUCACCACUCACUCA